rnacentral:rRNA from 1 species
UACAGAGGUCCCGAGCGUUGUUCGGAUUCACUGGGCGUAAAGGGUGCGUAGGUGGCUUGGUAAGUUUGAUGUGAAAGCUCAGGGCUCAACCCUGAAAUGGCAUUGAAUACUACUGAGCUGGAGGUUUGGAGGGGGGGCUGGAAUUCUUGGUGUAGCAGUGAAAUGCGUAGAUAUCAAGAGGAACACCAGUGGCGAAGGCGAGUCCCUGGACAACACCUGACACUGAGGCACGAAAGCUAGGGGAGCAAACAGG